AUUGAACGCUGGCGGCAGGCCGAACAUAGGAAAGUAGAGCGGAUGAAGGGAGCUUGCUUCUGGAUUAAGAGGAGGAAGGGUGAGUAAUGCCUAGGAAUCUGUAUGGUAGUGGGGGAUAACGUCCGGAAACGGGCGCUAAUACCGCAUACGUCCUGAGGGAGAAAGUGGGGGAUCUUCGGACCUCACGCUAUCAGAUGAGCCUAGGUCGGAUUAGCUAGUUGGUGGGGUAAAGGCCUACCAAGGCGACGAUCCGUAACUGGUCUGAGAGGAUGAUCAGUCACACUGGAACUGAGACACGGUCCAGACUCCUACGGGAGGCAGCAGUGGGGAAUAUUGGACAAUGGGCGAAAGCCUGAUCCAGCCAUGCCGCGUGUGUGAAGAAGGUCUUCGGAUUGUAAGGCACUUUAAGUUGGGAGGAAGGGCAGUAAGUUAAUACCUUGCUGUUUUGACGUUACCAACAGAAUAAGCACCGGCUAACUUCGUA
rnacentral:rRNA from 1 species